UACGGGGGGGGCAAGCGUUGUUCGGAAUUACUGGGCGUAAAGGGCGCGUAGGCGGCCUGCUAAGUCGGACGUGAAAUCCCUCGGCUCAACCGAGGAACUGCGUCCGAUACUGGUGGGCUUGAAUCCGGGAGAGGGAUGUGGAAUUCCAGGUGUAGCGGUGAAAUGCGUAGAUAUCUGGAGGAACACUAGUGGCGAAGGCGAAUCUCUGGACAGUUCCUGACGCUGAGGCACGAAGGCCAGGGGAGCAAACGGG
rnacentral:rRNA from 1 species